rnacentral:rRNA from 1 species
UACUCUUGACAUCCAGAGAACUUUCCAGAGAUGGAUUGGUGCCUUCGGGAACUCUGAGACAGGUGCUGCAUGGCUGUCGUCAGCUCGUGUUGUGAAAUGUUGGGUUAAGUCCCGUAACGAGCGCAACCCUUAUCCUUAUUUGCCAGCGAGUAAUGUCGGGAACUCUAAGGAGACUGCCGGUGACAAACCGGAGGAAGGUGGGGAUGACGUCAAGUCAUCAUGGCCCUUACGAGUAGGGCUACACACGUGCUACAAUGGCCGGUACAGAGGGCUGCAAACUCGCGAGAGUAAGCCAAUCUCACAAAACCGGUCGUAGUCCGGAUCGCAGUCUGCAACUCGACUGCGUGAAGUCGGAAUCGCUAGUAAUCGUGAAUCAGAAUGUCACGGUGAAUACGUUCCCGGGCCU